AACAUCGUUGAUAAUCUUGAAACAUCUAGUAAAAGUAUUGAAUGAGUUAGUUAAAUAAUAAAAAAAAUUUGCAAAAAUAAAUUAAAUAAACAUUUAACUUUAUAAACUAAUGCUAAGUAUGUUACCUUCUUGAUCUUCGGGUAUUUUGGAUAAGUCUAGCAAAUUUAAAAACAAAAGUGUUAGUUAAAUUAUGGGAAUG
rnacentral:lncRNA from 1 species